rnacentral:rRNA from 1 species
UACAGAGGGGGCAAGCAUUGUUCGGAAUUACUGGGCGUAAAGGGCGCGUAGGCGGCCUUCUAAGUCGAACGUGAAAUCCCUGGGCUCAACCCAGGAACUGCGUCCGAUACUGGAAGGCUUGAAUCCGGGAGAGGGAUGCGGAAUUCCAGGUGUAGCGGUGAAAUGCGUAGAUAUCUGGAGGAACACCCGUGGCGAAGGCGGCUCUCUGGGACGGUACUGACGCUGAGACGCGAAAGCGUGGGGAGCGAACAGG